rnacentral:rRNA from 1 species
CCUACGGGAGGCAGCAGUGAGGAAUAUUGGUCAAUGGGCGGAAGCCUGAACCAGCCAAGCCGCGUGAGGGAUGAAGGCACAGAGCGUCGCAAACCUCUUUUGCCGGGGGACAAAAGGGCAAACGGGUCCGGUCCUGAGGGUACCCGGAGAAAAAGCAUCGGCUAACUCCGUGCCAGCAGCCGCGGUAAUACGGAGGAUGCGAGCGUUAUCCGGAUUCAUUGGGUUUAAAGGGUGCGCAGGCGGCCCGUUAAGUCGGCGGUGAAAUGGCGGGGCUCAACCCCGCCGCGCCGUCGGAACUGGGGGCCUCGAGUUAGACGGAGGUAUGCGGAAUGCGUGGUGUAGCGGUGAAAUGCAUAGAUAUCGCGAAGAACCCCGAUUGCGAAGGCAGCGUGCUGGGUCGACACUGACGCUGAGGCACGAAAGCGUGGGGAUCGAACAGGAUUAGAUACCCCUGUAGUC